rnacentral:rRNA from 1 species
CAAACGACUCUCGGCAACGGAUAUCUCGGCUCACGCAUCGAUGAAGAACGUAGCAAAAUGCGAUACUUGGUGUGAAUUGCAGAAUCCCGUGAACCAUCGAGUUUUUGAACGCAAGUUGCGCCCGAAGCCAUUCGGUYGAGGGCACGUCUGCCUGGGCGUCACGCA